rnacentral:rRNA from 1 species
UACGGAGGGGGCUAGCGUUGUUCGGAAUUACUGGGCGUAAAGCGCACGUAGGCGGCUUUGUAAGUUAGAGGUGAAAGCCCAGGGCUUAACCCUGGAAUUGCCUUUAAGACUGCAUCGCUAGAAUCGUGGAGAGGUAAGUGGAAUUCCGAGUGUAGAGGUGAAAUUCGUAGAUAUUCGGAAGAACACCGGUGGCGAAGGCGGCUCACUGGCCCGAAACUGAC